rnacentral:rRNA from 1 species
UACGGAGGGGACUAGCGUUGUUCGGAAUUACUGGGCGUAAAGCGCGCGUAGGUGGCCUCAUAAGUCCGCUGUGAAAGUCAAAGGCUCAACCUUUGAAAGCCGGUGGAUACUGUGAGGCUAGAGUACGGAAGAGGCGAGUGGAAUUCCUGGUGUAGCGGUGGAAUGCGCAGAUAUCAGGAGGAACACCAACGGCGAAGGCAGCUCGCUGGGACGGUACUGACACUAAGGCGCGAAAGCGUGGGGAGCGAACAGG